GGAGUAGUACUCAAGUGGCUGAAGAGGCGCCCCUGCUAAGGGUGUAGGUCGGGUUUCCGGCGCGAGGGUUCGAAUCUCUCCUACUCCG
rfam:Lactobacillus sp. ASF360 genomic scaffold acMPL-supercont1.8, whole genome shotgun sequence.